CUCAGUCAUUAAAACAGUCAGCAGAGAUAAAUAUCCCUGGCAGUCGGUUUGAAUGCUAGCUGUUCUGCAAAGUUCGUCGCACGCUGGAAAUAUCCUUGAUCGGCGGACCAACACUGUUGAGUUCCUGGGCCAUAUUAUUCCAAAAAGCUACCGCUUCUUCUUUAGGGCACUUAUUUUACUGCAAAAACUUGUAUAAAAAUUCCGAUAAAAUUCAAAAUUUAAGGUUCCGAGUGAAUUCAGUGAAUGCCACUCCCCAAAUUUCGAACUUACGUUCGAAAUUGAUCGAUUUUACAUCUACGAUGGAUAGCGUGAGGGGCUGAAUAUAUAUUAAGAAUAUCGUGGAAAGUGGUGGUGCGAGAGUGGCGCAAGUUUCAGUCAGAAAUUUUUGUUUUGAAUAUCUGAUAGUAAACAGUUGGCACUGGAUGAAAAAUAUAUAAGUUUCAUUUGAAUUAAUAAAGAAUUGAAUGGAAAAAUGUAUUAAAUUAUUAACCGUUCCAACAUAAAUAAAGUGUUAAAGAUUGAAUUAAAGCCAAUUUUCAAAUUUAAUUUAAAUAAAAUAAGAAAUAUAAAUUUGUCAACAACAUCAACUUUUGGAAAAACUUGCUGGAAUCCAUGUAUAUUACAACCAUAAAACGACAAAUAACGCGAACUUCAUCGACUUGUUAUAAACCGGUGCACGAUAAAAAUAUCGAAUAAUCGUUGUGCUAUUUAGAUUACAUUUAUCUUUCUUUAAAGUCAGAGGAAAGGACACCAAUAACAAACAAUCAUAUGUGCACAUAUAUGUACACAAACAUCAGCAGGUGCAACAUUUAAAACAUUUUUUACAACAAUAACAUGUCUGAUCUUGGCAGUGGCGACGAAGGCAUUUCUGGUUCAAAAUACAAUGCAAGCGGCAUGGAAGGCACAGGUGGAAGAAGUGACUUCGAUUCUUCUGGCAAGGGUAAGUGUACAUUGACGAAUUAAGUU